rnacentral:lncRNA from 1 species
UCAGGAAAAGAAAAGAACAGAUACCAAAAAGACCUCCUGGAAACAUAGAGACCUCCUGAAAGGUAGAAGGCCGGUGGGAUCACAAAGAUCUCCCCGGAACAAAAACGGCCGGUGAGGAUCUCAAAAAGACCUCCCGGAGCAAAAACGGCCAGGAUCUCGUAAGAUCUCCUGGAGCAAAAACGGCCGGCGAGAAUCUCAAAAA